CGGCAAUCUUGGACUGGCUGUGUCUUUGACUGCAGGGCUACGUAAUCUAGAAAGAAAUUGUCAGGAACUAUUUUGCUCCUUGCGAAGUGGGAAAUGAAUGGCUUAUCUGCAAUAGAACAAUGAGCAAUGGGCAGCGCGGCUGAGAGGCACACAGAGAGAAGGUCGUGGGCUGCCAUCAAAGCUCCACACUGUGCUUUAUAAUAGACCAGAGACCCACAGGCAUGCUUGUCAGCGGGCUCCAGGAGCUCUCCGCGUCUUCUGAUAACCGACGUUCCCACGCACCCGUUUUAUUCCCAAAGCUCCCCGCCAGGUUUUCUGCUAUUUGUAAUCAAAAGAGCCCUGACUACAAAUCACAGUACUAAACUUUUUGUAUUUUUUGAAACCGAAAGAGAGAAAAAGAAAGUUCAGCAGCAUAGCAUGGCCAUUGACAGACAAGUGGUAUACGUCCAUGCCCAGGAACCAGAUCCGAGCUGCCAAAGCAGAGCGCACCAAACGUAACCACUAGGACACCAAGGCUGGCCCAUAGAUGGGAAGAGAUGAGAGGCCUCUCCUGGGAAGCUGUCCUGCCGCCAGUCCUGGACCAGUGCGCGGACGGCUUCGUAAAGCAGAGACACCAAGCAGGCUGCUCUGGGUAUGAAGACGAGCCUUGUCCUGCCGCCCGUAAACCAGGCGGCGGGCACCGUGCUGCUUUCUUACAAAUGGGCAAGGCGCAGCGAGAGGCGAGGGCUGGGCCAUGGAAGCCCAGAUCCAUCACAGAAUGAACAGAAACCGUUACAAGCGUGGAGUUUGUCAAAGAAUCCGGAUUUUGGUCCUAAACGCAAAGGUAGCAGGGGGCUUCCCUUAAAAAUGGCCUUUGAGACAGCCUUCACAAAAAAAUCAAAAAUAAAAAAUGAGUUCUUUUUGGGUACAAACAUAAAUAUUCACUUGUGAGAUGUUGCCUUUGAACUUUAUUUCUGAUGCUUUCAUUCCAAUGCAGAUCGAGAUUCUGCUGCAAAAUGGGGAAUCCAAGUGCAGCGCUGGAAAUCCGGGGUCACGCUCCAGCUGGCCUGUCUUGCAAGGGGCAUUGGGCAUCUUCCCAGGGAAGCAAACAAUGCUUGCACAUAUUUUUUGAUGAAUACUCAUCCCACCGAUAAAAUAACUUACUAAUCAAACAAAGAGGAAAGUAUGUGGAGUAAGUAUAGACAAAAAAAAAAAAAUCACAGACCUGAUGUAUAUCAAUGCUAUCCUCAUGAUUAACUUCAUAGGGAACUCUUCUCUU
rnacentral:lncRNA from 1 species